AAAGUUAUUUGACUGUUUUCCUUCAUUAUCCUUUGAAAUAAUAUGAAAUAUGUCUUCAAACAUUAGGAAAAAAGUAGUUUCCUACGCAUUUAACGUUACACAAAUGACGGAAGAGUCAGAGUUAGCAGAGACGUUUAUUAUGUGUCCGAGUUUGGCUGUACGGGAGUUUGGGUAAAGUACCAUACGGUAAUCGCUUUACUUUUCUUUAAUUUUAAGGAAUUUGACAUCAGCAUUGAGCUCAUUUAUGACUCCGGCGCUUCUCCGUCAGAGGCCAGCCGCACCGAAAAAGUUUGACGUCAAAAUUGAGCUCUCAUUGAGACUGGGGCACUACUGAACUAUUAUCAUGUGAGGAGCAAGGGACAAGACUAAAAUCUUCUCCAUCAGAGACCAACUGCCCUGAAAAAGGAUCUGGAUGACGAAGAUGCCUUGCAAAUCCAAGAAGAUCCAAUCACGCCCCAUCAACAAUCCCACACCUCUGAAAUGAAAAUUCUGUCAUUUACUCGUUUGUCACUCCAAACCUG